UUGCACAAUUCUGUGAAUAUAUUAAAAAACACUGAUUUUUUUUUUACUUCAGAAAUGAUCCUAAAGUACAUUAGAGAGAAUAAAGCUUAAAGAAUACCUGAGAAAUUGUUAGGAAAAAUGAUAAGGAACACCCUACCAUUAGAUACUUAAAUGUUUAAUAAGACAGAAUAAUUAAAAUUGUGAUGCUAUUUCAAAAACAGACUCAGUAAUGGAACAGAAUAUAAAGUCCAGAAACAAAUUCCAAUACAUAAUAUGUACAUAUUCAUUAAUGAUGAAUGUGGCAUUUCACAUAAUUAGAGAAAGGAUUCCUUGUUCAAUUUGUGAUGCUGGUAAAAUUGAUUGACUUUUUAGAAAAUAGAAAGUUAGGGUUUUUUUUUUUUUAAUCUAAAAUACCAAAUUGAACUUUAAAUGGAAUAAAAACCUAUAUGAAGAAAAAAGAGACUCACAUUAUGCCAAGUGAAAUAAGCCAAGCGCAGAAGGAUGAAUAUUGCAUGGUGUCACUCAUAGGUGGACUCUAAACAAGUUGAACUCAUGGAAGUAGAGAGUAGAAUGGUGAUUGCAGGAGUAGGGUUAUGGUAGGGAAUAGGGAGUUGCUGGUUAAAGGGUACAAAGUUUCAGUUAGGAUGAGUAAGUUCUGGAGGUCUAAUGGUAGAACAUGGUAAUUACUGUUAAUAAUGUAUACCUAAAGAUUUCUAAGAGCGUUAUCUUAAAUGUUCUUAUCACAAAAAAUAAAAUAACCUAUGUGAGGUGAUGGAUAUGUUAAUUUACUUGAUUGUGGUAAUCAUUUCACAGUGUAUACAUAAAAACAAUAUGCCGUACAUCAUAUAUAUAUGUGUGUGUGUAUAUAUAUAUGUACGUAUAUGUGUGUAUAUACACAAUUUUAAUUUGUCAUUUACACUUCAAUAGACCUGAGGGAGAAAAGAAAAAAAAGAAUUUUACUUGACUCCAAAUCUUUAAAAAAAA